rnacentral:misc_RNA from 1 species
GACGAGCCACCCAAACGUUAUUCGGAAUUACUGGGCUUAAAGGGUGCGUGGGCGGUGCAGCAAGUCGGGAGUGAAAUACCUCAUCUUAACUGAGGAACUGCUUUCGAUACUGCUGUGCUUGAGUGAGACAGAGGUAAGCGGAACUUAGGGUGGAGCGGUGAAAUGCGUUGAUAUCCUAAGGAACACCGGUGGCGAAGGCGGCUUACUGGGUCUCUACUGACGCUGAGGCACGAAAGCUAGGGGAGCGAAGGGG